CAGUAGCCGCGGUAAUACGGAGGGAGCUAGCGUUGUUCGGAAUUACUGGGCGUAAAGCGCGCGUAGGCGGUUACUCAAGUCAGAGGUGAAAGCCCGGGGCUCAACCCCGGAACUGCCUUUGAAACUAGGUGACUAGAAUCUUGGAGAGGUCAGUGGAAUUCCGAGUGUAGAGGUGAAAUUCGUAGAUAUUCGGAAGAACACCAGUGGCGAAGGCGACUGACUGGACAAGUAUUGACGCUGAGGUGCGAAAGCGUGGGGAGCAAACAGGAUUAGAGACCCGAGUAGUCCCUGUCUCUUAUAA
rnacentral:rRNA from 1 species